rnacentral:rRNA from 1 species
GCAUAUCAAUAAGCGGAGGAAAAGAAACUAACAAGGAUUCCCCUAGUAACGGCGAGUGAAGCGGGAUGAGCUCAAAUUUAAAAUCUUGCAGCCUCAGGUUGUACGAGUUGUAGUCUAGAGAAUCGUUUUCCGCGUUGGCCUGUGUACAAGUCCCUUGGAACAGGGCGUCAUAGAGGGUGAGAAUCCCGUCCUUGACACAGACUACCAAUGCUUUGUGAUGCGAUCUCGAAGAGUCGAGUUGUUUGGGAAUGCAGCUCAAAAUGGGUGGUAAAUUCCAUCUAAAGCUAAAUAUUGGCGAGAGACCGAUAGCGAACAAGUACCGUGAGGGAAAGAUGAAAAGCACUUUGGAAAGAGAGUUAAACAGUACGUGAAAUUGUUAAAAGGGAAACGAUUGAAGUCAGUCAUGCUCUCCGAGACUCAGCCGAUUCUGUCGGUGUACUUCUCGGUUGGCAGGCCAGCAUCAGUUUUGAUCUGUGGAAAAGGUUGGAGAGAAUGUGGCAUCCUCGGAUGUGUUAUAGCUCUUCUUCGAAUACAUAGAGCGGGACUGAGGAACGCAGCGUGCCCUUUAUUGGGUUGGCCUUCGGGUACAUACACGCUUAGGAUGCUGGCAUAAUGGCUUUAAACGACCCGUCUUGGAAACACGGACCAA